UACGAAGGGGGCAAGCGUUGUUCGGAAUUACUGGGCGUAAAGGGCGCGCAGGCGGCCCAUCAAGUCAGGCGUGAAAGCCCCGGGCUCAACCCGGGAGGGGCGCUUGAGACUGGCGGGCUGGAGUUCGGGAGAGGAUGGUGGAAUUCCCAGUGUAGAGGUGAAAUUCGUAGAUAUUGGGAAGAACACCGGUGGCGAAGGCGGCCAUCUGGACCGAAACUGACGCUGAGGCGCGAAAGCGUGGGGAGCAAACAGG
rnacentral:rRNA from 1 species